GUUAAGGUGGCAGAGCCAGGCUAAUGCAAAAGAUCUAAGACCUUUACACGGAGGUUCAAAUCCUCCCCCUAACU
rnacentral:tRNA from 1 species